UACGUAGGGGGCAAGCGUUGUCCGGAUUUAUUGGGCGUAAAGAGCGUGUAGGCGGCCAGGUAGGUCCGUUGUGAAAACUCGAGGCUUAACCUCGAGAUGUCAUCGGAAACCAUUUGGCUAGAGUCCGGAAGAGGAGAGUGGAAUUCCUGGUGUAGCGGUGAAAUGCGCAGAUAUCAGGAAGAACACCAAUGGCGAAAGCAGCUCUCUGGGACGGUACUGACGCUGAGACGCGAAAGCGUGGGGAGCGAACAGG
rnacentral:rRNA from 1 species